GUAACGAAUCUUCCGCAAUGCGCGAAAGCGUGACGGGGCAAUGCCGCGUGUGGGAUGAAGCCCCUUGGGGUGUAAACCACUGUCAGGGUGCAGGAACACAAUGACCAUACCCAAAGGAAGCACCGGCUAACUCUGUGCCAGCAGCCGCGGUAAUACAGAGGGUGCGAGCGUUAAUCGGAAUCACUGGGCUUAAAGGGUCCGUAGGCGGGACUGUAGGCGUCGAGUGAAAUCCCACGGCUCAACCGUGGAACUGCUCGGCGAACCACAGUUCUUGAGGCGAGUAGAGGCGAUCAGAACGAUAGGUGGAGCGGUGAAAUGCGUAGAUAUCUAUCGGAAUGCCAAAGGUGAAGACAGGUCGCUGGGCUCGUCCUGACGCUGAGGGACGAAAGCGUGGGGAGCAAACGGGAUUAGAUACCCGAGUAGUCC
rnacentral:rRNA from 1 species